GUGUUUUGAGUAUAGGAAAAUAAAAAUGAAAAAUGUUCUGUAAAUUUGGACUCCGGAGAAAAUUGUUUUACUGUGAUCUAUUCGGUUAUUUUUGCAUAGAAAUAAUGCAACGUUUGUCGUGAGAAUUCGAGUGUUUGAAUCAAGUGAUAGUGAUUCUACGUGAAACCGGCAUUUUUUAUUAAAAUUGUGCGUUAUCCAUUAGGUGACGUGCGUGCCGAAAAGUUCAACUCGGCAGCCCCAGACCGGAGUUAUUUCAGAUCUCUUCAAAACCGCACAUCCCGACAUCGUUCCGUCGCGGCACCAAACUGUACCCUGUUGGGGUGGUGCUGGUAGUUGUGACCGGAAUCGUGACCCAUACAGCUGCACCGCUGGAAACGGUACGACCACCAGCAGCAAAGUGACAGCUCCUCUUGGGCGAU